AGCAAAUGACUGUGCUAUAUCCAUAGUCUUCACAACAAACAAAGGUUUCCAGAAUCCAUUUUAGAGAUGGAAUAGGUAAGAGUCAGUAAGCUCAAGUUGACUUGUGCUAGGACACAGAUGCCUUCACAUCUUUGUCUGCCACUGCCUUCUCCCAGUUCUUUUGUGGAGAGAGGCCGUUGUAGAUAAAUUCCUACCAAGCUUAGAGCCCAGAGGUGGGUGCUCUGAAAAAGGACCAUUUGCCCUGACUGUCCUGCCCGGGCUCACAGCCCGUUCUCAUCUUAGUCAAGCAGGGUUCGAAACCAGGCAAAGCUGCUUAGGAGAGAGCAGCAUGGGCCAGGAAAAUCUGCUGGAUUGUAGAGCCCAGCAGUGGGUAGGUAGGUACAUCUGAGAGCCUGCCUGGCUGAUCUCAAUCCCGCCACCCUCUUCUCCAUGCCUUUCCUGGCCCCUACAGAAACAGCAGCACCAUGGACUUGACACUCUUCGCAGCUGAGGCCAUUGCCCUCAACCGCCAGCUGUCUCAGCAUGAAGAGAAUGAACUGGCUGAGGAACACGAGGCCCUAGCCGAGGGCCUCUGCUCCAUGAAGCUGUCCCCUCCAUCCAAAUCUCGCCUGGCACGAAGGCGAGCCCUGGCCCACGCUGGCCGAGAAGCAAACUCUUGUUCCACACCCGCAGGGCUCUGAACUGAUAUGCAGGCACACCUUGUCGGUGCCCCCUGACAACCUACGAGGUCAAAGUGUGAAGCUAGCCGAGGGACCUGCCCUGCAGCCCCAGCAGGCCUUUACCAUCCACAAAGGCUCCUGGGUUCCCACCCAUCCCCCAUUUCCCUUGGGUCCUCAAAGGAAAAAGCUUUUUCCAAAGGGGUUGUCUUUGAAAAGGAAGGCAAUCACUUGUCACUUUGCAUAAUAGCCUGCAGCAGGAACAUCUCUCUGCCCGGCUCCAACUGCUCCCAGUGUGCAGAUCCCGGAUCCAGCUUUUGGUGGGGGCUGCUGGGGCUGCAGCCUUCAGGGAGCCGGCUUCCAGGAGCUGACAGAAGCUGACAGACACGCCUCUUCUCCCCUGCACUGUCACCUUCUCCCACCUUCCUCUGUCCUACAGACGUCCUCUCUGCCUGUCUUCUCCCCGGCUGAGCAAAGCCAUCCCCUCAAUUCAGGAAGGGCAGGGAACCAACCAGAUCAGUCUUCCAGUCUGUAGCACGGAGAAGCACAUAAUCUUUCUUUGCCUUGACCGAGAUGUCUUCCUCAUUUAUCAUCCUCUUCCGUGUUUCGGAUUGUUGCUAAAGUCAGUAUUAUUCCUUUUUAAAAAUGCGUUUGCUUUAUUUUUAACCAUGUUCUUCCAGCAACCAUAGAACUUCAAACUCGCACUGUGAGCCCAUGGACUUCCCCAGGCAGAUGCCCAUGCACUUGGGUUUUAAUCCUCCUCCCCACUGUCUCCAACUUUAAAGACCGGUGCCUUCGCAUCUUUGUCUGCCACUGCCUUCUCCCAGGUCUUUUGUGGAGAGAGGCACAAACCCAGGGCAGUCAGACUGCUGUGUCCGAGAUGAAGCCCUGCUGCCCUGCUCUGAGAAAUGCUGUGCCCACUGCCCCCAGACAUGAAGGCACAGCCACUGUCAGAUAAGCUGUGGGGUCACAUAAAACAGAUUUGCACAUGUGACAUACGUUAGUCAACCACGACCACCCAAAUUCUCUCAUAACUUGUGCUUAUUUUAAUAAAUAAUUUAAAAUUUU
rnacentral:lncRNA from 1 species